UUUCGUAAUUCGUUCCGCCAAUUUCUUCUCUAUUAUUCCCCUUUUUCUUCCGCUUUGAUCUGUUUACAGCCUUAAUGUCUUUCAGAAGUUUCAGAAUUGACGCCGGUCUGCGAUUUACUGUUCGCGGCAGUGAAUCUCCGUACCAGGCAAAGUUCCACUGCGAUUUUAUCUCUCGUAGCAAAUAUGCUUCUGCGGGAUGAACCAAAACCCUUCCAAAUCAAGAGCUAGAGCUUGUGUUAUUGAUAGGAAUGAGUUAUAGCAAAUAUGUGAACAAAUGCAAAUUUUCAAUCACAAUUUAGUAUUCAUCAUUGAUGUGGCUGUAUGAUCCCUUCACAUAUGAGAACAACAAUUCAAUAUCUCUUCAACCUGACACAAGGGGAAGGUAUUGUGUAAUCAAUCGGCUAUUGUAACUUUGAUACGGCGCGGACCACCUCAAUAUGAAGAUUUGUAUUGGGUCAGGUCGUGACAUCAAAUAAGUUGGCAAGGCCAACCACUUAGUAAUGAGUGCAUGCACCAUCUAAUGAGUGUGUGCUGGUGUAUAACUCUAGAUGAGAGCUUUCAUAGGGAUAAUUUGAUGGCCCUCGAAGCCAUCACAAUGAUGAUGAUGUAGCUAUUAUUAUCUGUUCUUUUUUUAUGUGCAGUGUGAAGCUCAGGUCAUACACAAGGAAGAUUGAACCAACCCAGUAUAAUUCCCUGAGAUCAAUCAGUUAAAGGGUCUUUGGACAUUUGAGUUAGGUUUACCUUCCAAAUGAGGAUGCUGAUAUCAAAUUGGUUGCCGUCGAACGAUGAGAUCGGAGAUAUGGAAGCGCCG